AUGCUUGCUUUGCCAGCACAUAUAUCAAAAUUGGAGGAACGCAGACAAGAUGAGCUUGGCCCCUGAACAAAGAUGACAUGCAAAUUUGUGAAGAAUUCUGUAUCUUU
ensembl:snRNA U6 U6 spliceosomal RNA